GAUGAAGAACGUAGCGAAAGUGCGAAACGUAAUGUGAAUUGCAGAAUUCAGUGAAUCAUCGAAUCUUUGAACGCACAUUGCGCCCGUCAGUAUUCUGGCGGGCAUGCCUGUUCGAGCGUCAUUACGCCCCUCAAGUCCCCUGUGGACUUGGUGUUGGGGAUCGGCGAGGCUGGUUUUCCAGCACAGCCGUCCCUUAAAUUAAUUGGCGGUCUCGCCGUGGCCCUCCUCUGCGCAGUAGUAAAACACUCGCAACAGGAGCCCGGCGCGGUCCACUGCCGUAAAACCCCCCAACUUUUUAUAGUUGACCUCGAAUCAGGUAGGACUACCCGCUGAACUUAAGCAUAUCAAUAAGCGGAGGA
rnacentral:misc_RNA from 1 species